rnacentral:rRNA from 1 species
UACCAGCACCCCGAGUGGUCGGGACGUUUAUUGGGCCUAAAGCAUCCGUAGCCGGUUCUACAAGUCUUCCGUUAAAUCCAACUGCUUAACAGGUGGGCUGCGGAAGAUACUAUAGAGCUAGGAGGCGGGAGAGGCGAGCGGUACUCGAUGGGUAGGGGUAAAAUCCGUUGAUCCAUUGAAGACCACCAGUGGCGAAGGCGGCUUGCCAGAACGCGCUCGACGGUGAGGGAUGAAAGCUGGGGGAGCAAACCGG